UUAUGCUUACUUUUGAAUAUGCUGCCUGAUCAGGGAAAAAAGGUAAAGUUACUCAGCUCAUAUGUGUGUCUUUCACUAAUCUAUUAUGUUUCACUCAGUAAAUCACUAUUGAUGUCUUUGUUAUUUAUGGUUAUCUUUCAGCAGUUUGUUGAACUAUAAUUCCCAAAUUCACAUAUUUUUUGUUUAUUAGGCAGUCGAUGCCAAGCAAAAUGAAGCCAUCACAGCUGCAUCUAAUGAGUUGGCCAAAAGAAAAAGCGAUCUUGAAGAAAAUUUAAAACUUUCACGUGAUUUAAAAGUCUAGGCGCAGCAUGGAAUGUUGCUAAUGUGACAAAAGGAUCAACUGGAGUGAUAUUUGGUCUCGGAACUGUUGGCCUUUCUGUUGCACAAGGUGCAAAACUAAGGGGAGCAUCUCGAAUAAUUGGCGUGGAUAAGAAUCCACAUAAGUGUGAAAAAGCAAAAGCUUUUGGAUUUACAGAAGUUGUUGACCCGAGUUCCAACCACGAACCUAUUGCUCAAACAGGGGUAUUGCCUCCGUUUGUACCUUUUGUGCAAGUAUUUGCAGCUGUACUCACAUCUGUUCUUACUGGUUCUCUCUAUUAUGUGGCUGCCUCGCCCAAAUGUCCUCUUCUUAUUGCCCUUCAACAUGUUUUCCCUUUGUAUUGACUUAUUUUGUUUUUAUGCUUGCUUAACGAUCUCUUGCUUAUUUGUUUACUUCUUUCAGAUCCCAAUUAU